CACUGUCACUCCUACGGGGAGGCAGCAGUGGGGAAUAUUGCACAAUGGGCGCAAGCCUGAUGCAGCCAUGCCGCGUGUAUGAAGAAGGCCUUCGGGUUGUAAAGUACUUUCAGUCGUGAGGAAGGCGGCGUCGUUAAUAGCGGCGUUGUUUGACGUUAGCGACAGAAGAAGCACCGGCUAACUCCGUGCCAGCAGCCGCGGUAAUACGGAGGGUGCGAGCGUUAAUCGGAAUUACUGGGCGUAAAGCGCAUGCAGGUGGUUUGUUAAGUCAGAUGUGAAAGCCCGGGGCUCAACCUCGGAAUUGCAUUUGAAACUGGCAGACUAGAGUACUGUAGAGGGGGGUAGGAAUUUCAGGUGUAGCGGUGAAAUGCGUAGAGAUCUGAAGGAAUACCGGUGGCGAAGGCGGCCCCCUCGGACAGAUACUGACACUCAGAUGCGAAAGCGUGGGGAGCAAACAGGAUUAGAUACCCUGGUAG
rnacentral:rRNA from 1 species